GACGAACGCUGGCGGCGUGCUUAACACAUGCAAGUCGAACGGAAAGGCCCUGCUUGCAGGGUGCUCGAGUGGCGAACGGGUGAGUAACACGUGGGUGAUCCGCCCCUUACUUUGGGAUAAGCCUGGGAAACUGGGUAUAAUACUGGAUAGGACCAUGCUGUUGGUGGUGUGGUGGAAAGAUUUUUUCGGUAGGGGAUGAGCUCGCGGCCUAUCAGCUUGUUGGUGGGGUGAUGGCCUACCAUGGCGUCGACGGGUGGCCGGCCUGCGAGGGUGGACGGCAACAUUGGGACUGAGAUCCAGCGCAGGCACCUACGGGGAGCAGCAGUGGGGGGGCGUGAACCUGGGGCAGAAGCCUGACGCAGCGGCAGCACGUGGGCGAUGUCGACAUUCGUGUUGUGGGCACAUAACAGCCAUGACUAAGCCUCUGUUGGUGUGACGGUAAUGGGAGAAGAAGCACCGGCUAACUACGUG
rnacentral:rRNA from 1 species